rnacentral:rRNA from 1 species
GACGAACGCUGGCGGCGUGCUUAACACAUGCAAGUCGAACGGUGAAGCUCCAGCUUGCUGGUGUGGAUCAGUGGCGAACGGGUGAGUAACACGUGAGCAACCUGCCCCUGACUCUGGAAUAAGCGCUGGAAACGGCGUCUAAUACUGGAUACGAGAAGGGUCCGCAUGGGCACUUUCUGGAAAGUUUUUCGGUUGGGGAUGGGCUCGCGGCCUAUCAGCUUGUUGGUGAGGUAAUGGCUCACCAAGGCGACGACGGGUAGCCGGCCUGAGAGGGCGACCGGCCACACUGGGACUGAGACACGGCCCAGACUCCUACGGGAGGCAGCAGUGGGGAAUAUUGCACAAUGGGCGAAAGCCUGAUGCAGCAACGCCGCGUGAGGGAUGACGGCCUUCGGGUUGUAAACCUCUUUCGGCAGGGAAGAAGCGAAAGUGACGGUACCUGCAGAAGAAGCACCGGCUAACUACGUG